rnacentral:rRNA from 1 species
UACGUAGGCAGCGAGCGUUGUUCGGAAUUACUGGGCGUAAAGAGUGUGUAGGUGGUGCUCUCAGUUUGGUGUGAAAUCUCCCGGCUCAACCGGGAGGGUGCAUCGAAAACUGGAGUGCUAGAGGAUGGGAGAGGCAAGCGGAAUUCCUGGUGUAGCGGUGAAAUGCGUAGAUAUCUGGAGGAACACCGGUGGCGAAGGCGGCAUUCUGGACUACAACUGACACUGAGGAGCGAAAGCCAGGGGAGCAAACGGG